rnacentral:rRNA from 1 species
GACGAACGCUGGCGGCGUGCUUAACACAUGCAAGUCGAACGGAAAGGCCCUGCUUUUGUGGGGUGCUCGAGUGGCGAACGGGUGAGUAACACGUGAGUAACCUGCCCUUGACUUUGGGAUAACUUCAGGAAACUGGGGCUAAUACCGGAUAGGAGCUCCUGCUGCAUGGUGGGGGUUGGAAAGUUUCGGCGGUUGGGGAUGGACUCGCGGCUUAUCAGCUUGUUGGUGGGGUAGUGGCUUACCAAGGCUUUGACGGGUAGCCGGCCUGAGAGGGUGCACGGCCACAUUGGGACUGAGAUGCGGCACAGACUCCUACGGGAGGCAGCAGUGGGGAAUAUUGCACAAUGGGCGGAAGCCUGAUGCAGCAACGCCGCGUGCGGGAUGACGGCCUUCGGGUUGUAAACCGCUUUCGCCUGUGACGAAGCGUGAGUGACGGUAAUGGGUAAAGAAGCACCGGCUAACUACGUG